rnacentral:rRNA from 1 species
CAACUUUUGACAAUGGAUCUCUUGGUUCUCGCAACGAUGAAGAACGCAGCAAAAUGCGAUAAGUAGUGUGAAUUGCAGAAUACGUGAAUCAUCGAAUCUUCGAACGCAUAUUGCACUUUUUUGGUUUACCAAAAAGUAUGUCUGUUUGAGUAUCAGUA